UGAGAAUGGCAUCCCAGUACGUCCUUGUCAUUGCAUAAGGCUCACCAGAAUUGGGAAUGACUGUCCUAACCCGUGCUAAGGGCUAGGAAAGAGGAUCCAAACAGAGCCCCAUUUUUCUUUCAACUGUAAUUUUGAAGCUUUAAUAGCAGUUACCUAGAACGGAACUGAUGUGGCCCCCUCGCCGUUUCCUUGACCAGGGCCUGCGGGCUUAUUUCGGGGAAGCAUUCUCUACCGCUCUGCGAAUGUCCGCUGUCUCCUGGGACAGUAAGCUUGACCAAAGCAUGAGCGCUGCUCUGUUAGAUGAGCAGCCCAUCUCUGAAGGAGGAAGAGAUCUGCUCUCUACGCUCCUUGAAAGGAAGUGUGAGUCUCACUUGGAGCCAGAGUCAUCAGAAGAGUAUAUUAAGAGAAACAUGGAUCUUCUCCUCUUCACCAAUAUGGAACAUUUUCUAAAAUCCCUCCUCACUGCAGAACAACCGAUCCCAAGAAAACCAAGAGAACAGUGUGGAGACGAAGAGAAGAGUGGUGACCUUGCAUGCCAAGAUCCAGAUCAGCAACUAGCACCGGGAGAAAUAACUGAACACUGA
rnacentral:lncRNA from 1 species